GGUUAAGUGACUAAGCGUACACGGUGGAUGCCCUGGCAGUCAGAGGCGAUGAAGGACGUGCUAAUCUGCGAAAAGCGUCGGUAAGGUGAUAUGAACCGUUAUAACCGGCGAUGUCCGAAUGGGGAAACCCAGUGCAAUUCGUUGCACUAUCGUUAACUGAAUACAUAGGUUAACGAGGCGAACCGGGGGAACUGAAACAUCUAAGUACCCCGAGGAAAAGAAAUCAACCGAGAUUCCCCCAGUAGCGGCGAGCGAACGGGGAGCAGCCCAGAGUCUGAAUCAGCUUGUGUGUUAGUGGAACGGUCUGGAAAGUCCGACGGUACAGGGUGAUAGUCCCGUACACCAAAAUGCACAGGCUGUGAACUCGAAGAGUAGGGCGGGACACGUGGUAUCCUGUCUGAAUAUGGGGGGACCAUCCUCCAAGGCUAAAUACUCCUGACUGACCGAUAGUGAACCAGUACCGUGAGGGAAAGGCGAAAAGAACCCCGGCGAGGGGAGUGAAAAAGAACCUGAAACCGUGUACGUACAAGCAGUGGGAGCACCUUCGGGUGUGACUGCGUACCUUUUGUAUAAUGGGUCAGCGACUUAUAUUCUGUAGCAAGGUUAACCGUAUAGGGGAGCCGCAGGGAAACCGAGUCUUAACUGGGCGUUAAGUUGCAGGGUAUAGACCCGAAACCCGGUGAUCUAGCCAUGGGCAGGUUGAAGGUUGGGUAACACUAACUGGAGGACCGAACCGACUAAUGUUGAAAAAUUAGCGGAUGACUUGUGGCUGGGGGUGAAAGGCCAAUCAAACCGGGAGAUAGCUGGUUCUCCCCGAAAGCUAUUUAGGUAGCGCCUCGUGAACUCAUCUUCGGGGGUAGAGCACUGUUUCGGCUAGGGGGUCAUCCCGACUUACCAACCCGAUGCAAACUACGAAUACCGAAGAAUGUUAUCACGGGAGACACACGGCGGGUGCUAACGUCCGUCGUGAAGAGGGAAACAACCCAGACCGCCAGCUAAGGUCCCAAAGUCAUGGUUAAGUGGGAAACGAUGUGGGAAGGCACAGACAGCCAGGAUGUUGGCUUAGAAGCAGCCAUCAUUUAAAGAAAGCGUAAUAGCUCACUGGUCGAGUCGGCCUGCGCGGAAGAUGUAACGGGGCUAAACCAUGCACCGAAGCUGCGGCAGCGACACUAUGUGUUGUUGGGUAGGGGAGCGUUCUGUAAGCCUGCGAAGGUGUGCUGUGAGGCAUGCUGGAGGUAUCAGAAGUGCGAAUGCUGACAUAAGUAACGAUAAAGCGGGUGAAAAGCCCGCUCGCCGGAAGACCAAGGGUUCCUGUCCAACGUUAAUCGGGGCAGGGUGAGUCGACCCCUAAGGCGAGGCCGAAAGGCGUAGUCGAUGGGAAACAGGUUAAUAUUCCUGUACUUGGUGUUACUGCGAAGGGGGGACGGAGAAGGCUAUGUUAGCCGGGCGACGGUUGUCCCGGUUUAAGCAUGUAGGCUGGUUGUCCAGGCAAAUCCGGAUAAUCAAGGCUGAGGUGUGAUGACGAGGCACUACGGUGCUGAAGUAACAAAUGCCCUGCUUCCAGGAAAAGCCUCUAAGCAUCAGGUAACAUCAAAUCGUACCCCAAACCGACACAGGUGGUCAGGUAGAGAAUACCAAGGCGCUUGAGAGAACUCGGGUGAAGGAACUAGGCAAAAUGGUGCCGUAACUUCGGGAGAAGGCACGCUGGUGUGUAGGUGAAGUCCCUGCGGAUGGAGCUGAGACCAGUCGAAGAUACCAGCUGGCUGCAACUGUUUAUUAAAAACACAGCACUGUGCAAACACGAAAGUGGACGUAUACGGUGUGACGCCUGCCCGGUGCCGGAAGGUUAAUUGAUGGGGUUAUCCGUAAGGAGAAGCUCUUGAUCGAAGCCCCGGUAAACGGCGGCCGUAACUAUAACGGUCCUAAGGUAGCGAAAUUCCUUGUCGGGUAAGUUCCGACCUGCACGAAUGGCGUAAUGAUGGCCAGGCUGUCUCCACCCGAGACUCAGUGAAAUUGAACUCGCUGUGAAGAUGCAGUGUACCCGCGGCAAGACGGAAAGACCCCGUGAACCUUUACUAUAGCUUGACACUGAACAUUGAGCCUUGAUGUGUAGGAUAGGUGGGAGGCUUUGAAGCGUGGACGCCAGUCUGCGUGGAGCCAACCUUGAAAUACCACCCUUUAAUGUUUGAUGUUCUAACGUUGGCCCCUGACCGGGGUUGCGGACAGUGUCUGGUGGGUAGUUUGACUGGGGCGGUCUCCUCCCAAAGCGUAACGGAGGAGCACGAAGGUUAGCUAAUCCUGGUCGGACAUCAGGAGGUUAGUGCAAUGGCAUAAGCUAGCUUGACUGCGAGCGUGACGGCGCGAGCAGGUGCGAAAGCAGGUCAUAGUGAUCCGGUGGUUCUGAAUGGAAGGGCCAUCGCUCAACGGAUAAAAGGUACUCCGGGGAUAACAGGCUGAUACCGCCCAAGAGUUCAUAUCGACGGCGGUGUUUGGCACCUCGAUGUCGGCUCAUCACAUCCUGGGGCUGAAGUAGGUCCCAAGGGUAUGGCUGUUCGCCAUUUAAAGUGGUACGCGAGCUGGGUUUAGAACGUCGUGAGACAGUUCGGUCCCUAUCUGCCGUGGGCGCUGGAGAAUUGAGGGGGGCUGCUCCUAGUACGAGAGGACCGGAGUGGACGCAUCACUGGUGUUCGGGUUGUCAUGCCAAUGGCACUGCCCGGUAGCUAAAUGCGGAAGAGAUAAGUGCUGAAAGCAUCUAAGCACGAAACUUGCCCCGAGAUGAGUUCUCCCUGAGACUUUAAGUCUCCUGAAGGAACGUUAAAGACGAUGACGUUGAUAGGCCGGGUGUGUAAGCGCAGCGAUGCGUUGAGCUAACCGGUACUAAUGAACCGUGAGGCUUAACCUU
rnacentral:rRNA from 1 species